rnacentral:rRNA from 1 species
ACUAAGCUCGACCUCAGAUCAGGUAGGAAUACCCGCUGAACUUAAGCAUAUCAAUAAGCGGAGGAAAAGAAACCAACAGGGAUUGCCUCAGUAGCGGCGAGUGAAGCGGCAAGAGCUCAGAUUUGAAAUCUCACCUAGUGUGCGAGUUGUAAAUUGCAGGUUGGAGUCUCGGUUUAGACGUGUGUGCAAGUCCCUUGGAACAGGGCGCCACUGAGGGUGAGAGCCCCGUAGUGUGCACGUCGAUAGCUGUGAGGCCCUUCUGACGAGUCGAGUUGUUUGGGAAUGCAGCUCUAAGUGGGUGGUAAAUUCCAUCUAAGGCUAAAUAUUGGCGAGAGACCGAUAGCGAACAAGUACUGUGAAGGAAAGAUGAAAAGCACUUUGAAAAGAGAGUGAAACAGCACGUGAAAUUGUUGAAAGGGAAGGGUAUUGGGCUCGACAUGGGAUUUACGCAUCGUUGCCUCUCGUGGGCGGCGCUCUGGGUUUUUCCUGGGCCAGCAUCGGUUUUCGUUGCAGGAUAAGGACCUUUGGAAUGUGGCUCCUCGGAGUGUUAUAGCCAUUGGUAGAUGCUGCAUAUGGGGACCGAGGGCUGCGGCGGACUUGUUUCGUCUCGGAUGCUGGCACAACGGCGCAAUACCGCCCGUCUUGAAACAUGGACCAAGGAGUCUAACGUCUAUGCGAGUGUUUGGGUGUAAAACCCGUACGCGUAAUGAAAGUGAACGUAGGUCGGACCGCUCUCUCGGGGGCG